CUGGAUUCUCGCGAUAUUUUGGGAUUGCCCCUCCCCCCUUCUCCAAGUGCCGUUUCGGUUUAAUCUAGUGUGUGACUGUGAGUCUGUGUGAGGGAGCGAAUGUGUGUGAGGUGUUGAGGUGAGGCGGAGGCAGGAAAAGGGGCUCCGUUAGGAGCCAGGGACAAAGGGGGCGUGAGGCACCCAGGCCACGGGACCCGGGCGACAGGAAGCCCGCCCCGAGCCGGUCUACCGGGUAGGGGAAGGGCCCGCGCAGUCCUCACAGGGCCGGAGUCGGCCCCACAGCCCCGGGCCGUCGGCUUCCUGCUUCCUCGACCUCUCCGGUCCCCGGGCUUGAGGAUUGGCUCGACGAAGGGAGAAGGGGAAACAGACUUGAGCAGCUACCCGUUGUCUCGCAACUCCUCUGCUGAGGAACUCUCAUUUCUUCCCUCGCUCCUUCAACCCCCCCCCCCCGCCUCAUGUAGGAGGGUGCUGAGGAGUCGGGAGGGAGGAGGAGCCUGGGCUGCCGUCCCUUCCCUCCCCACCCCCCUUCUAGGGGCGCUUUGGUGGGCGUGGAGUUGGGGUUGGGGGGGAGGGUGGGGGUUACUUUUUGGAGUGCUGGGGAACUUUUUCCCCUUCUUCAGGCCAGGGGAAAGGGAAUGCCCAAUUCAGAGAGACAUGGGGGUAAGAAGGACGGGAGUGGGGGAGCUUCUGGAACUUUGCAGCCGUCAUCGGGAGGUGGCAGCGCCAACAGCAGAGAGCGUCACCGCCUGGUAUCGAAGCACAAGCGGCAUAAGUCCAAGCACUCCAAAGACAUGGGGUUGGUGACCCCCGAAGCAGCAUCCUUGGGUACAGUUAUCAAACCUCUGGUGGAGUAUGAUGAUAUCAGCUCUGAUUCUGACACUUUCUCUGAUGACAUGGCCUUUAAACUAGACAGAAGGGAGAAUGAUGAACGUCGUGGGACUGAUCGGAGUGAUCGCCUGCACAAACAUCGUCACCACCAGCACAGGCGUUCCCGGGACUUACUAAAAACCAAGCAGACCGAAAAAGAAAAAAACCAGGAAGUCUCCAGCAAGUCGGGAUCGAUAAAGGACCGGACAUCAGGAAGUUCAAAGCGUUCAAAUGAGGAGAUUGAUGACUAUGGAAAGGCACAGAUAUCCAAAAACAGCAACAAGGAAUCCAGGUCAUCCAAACUCCGUAAGGAGAAGACUCGGAAAGAACGUGAAUUGAAGUCUGGGCACAAAGACCGGAGUAAAAGUCAUCGGAAAAGGGAAACACCUAAAAGUUACAAAACAGUGGACAGCCCGAAACGGAGGUCCAGGAGUCCCCACAGGAAGUGGUCUGACAGCUCCAAGCAAGAUGAUAGCCCCUCAGGAGCUUCUUAUGGCCAAGAUUAUGACCUUAGUCCUCCAAGAUCUCACACCUCUAGCAAUUAUGACUCCUACAAGAAAAGUCCUGGGAGUACCUCAAGAAGGCAGUCAGUUAGCCCACCUUACAAGGAGCCUUCGGCCUACCAGUCCAGUACUCGGUCACCCAGUCCCUACAGUAGAAGACAGAGGUCUGUGAGUCCUUAUGGCAGGAGACGGUCAUCCAGCUAUGAACGGAGUGGCUCUUACAGUGGGAGAUCACCCAGUCCCUAUGGUCGAAGGCGGUCCAGCAGCCCUUUCAUGAGCAAGCGGUCUCUGAGUCGGAGUCCACUCCCCAGUAGGAAAUCCAUGAAGUCCAGAAGUAGAAGUCCUGCAUAUUCAAGACACUCAUCUUCUCAUAGUAAAAAGAAGAGAUCCGGCUCACGCAGUCGUCAUUCCAGUAUCUCACCAGUUAGGCUUCCACUGAAUUCCAGCCUGGGAGCUGAACUCAGUAGGAAAAAAAAGGAAAGAGCAGCUGCUGCUGCUGCAGCAAAAAUGGAUGGAAAAGAAUCCAAAGGUUCACCUAUAUUUUUGCCUAAAAAAGAGAACAGUUCAGUAGAGGCUAAGGAUUCAAGUGUGGAGUCUAAAAAGUUACCCAGAUGUGUAAAAUUGGAAAAAUCUGCCCCAGAUACUGAACUGGUAAAUGUAACACAUCUAAACACAGAGGUCAAAAAUUCUUUAGAUAUAGGGAAAGUAAAGCUGGAUGAGAACUCUGAGAAGCAUCCUGCUCUUAAAGAUUUGAAAGCACAGGGAACAAGAGACUCUAAAUCCGUAGCAUUGAAAGAGAAGAUUGUUACUCCAAAGGAGACGGAGACAUCAGAAAAGGAGACCCCGCCAACUCUCCCCACAAUUACUACUCCUCCACCCCCUUUACCAACUACUACCCCUCCACCUCAGACACCCCCUCUGCCACCUUUGCCUCCACUUCCAGCUGUUUCGCAGCAGCCACCUCUGCCUCCUCCUCAACUAGCAUUUAGUCAGUUUUCUGCUUCCAGUACUUCAACUUUGCCCCCUUCUACUCAUGCAAGGACAUCUGCUCUGUCCUCUCAGGCAAAUUCUCAGCCCCCUGUACAGGUUUCUGUGAAGACUCAAGUAUCUGUAACAGCUGCAAUUCCACACCUGAAAACUUCAACAUUGCCUCCUCUGCCCCUGCCACCCUUAUUACCUGGAGAUGAUGACAUGGAUAGUCCAAAAGAAACUCUUCCUUCAAAACCGAUAAAGAAAGAGAAGGAACAGAGGACACGUCAUUUACUUACAGACCUUCCUCUCCCUCCAGAGCUCCCGGGUGGGGAUCCGUCUCCCCCAGACUCUCCAGAACCAAAGGCAAUCACGCCACCUCAGCAACCAUAUAAAAAGAGACCAAAAAUUUGUUGUCCUCGUUAUGGAGAAAGAAGACAAACCGAAAGCGACUGGGGGAAACGCUGUGUGGACAAGUUUGACAUUAUUGGGAUUAUUGGAGAGGGAACCUAUGGCCAAGUAUAUAAAGCCAAGGACAAAGACACAGGAGAACUAGUGGCUCUGAAGAAGGUGAGACUAGACAAUGAGAAAGAGGGCUUCCCAAUCACAGCCAUUCGUGAGAUCAAAAUCCUUCGUCAGUUAAUCCAUCGAAGUGUUGUUAACAUGAAGGAAAUUGUCACAGAUAAACAAGAUGCACUGGAUUUCAAGAAGGACAAAGGUGCCUUUUAUCUUGUGUUUGAGUAUAUGGACCAUGACUUAAUGGGACUGCUAGAAUCCGGUUUGGUGCACUUUUCUGAGGACCAUAUCAAGUCAUUCAUGAAACAACUAAUGGAAGGAUUGGAUUACUGUCACAAAAAGAAUUUCCUGCAUCGGGAUAUUAAGUGUUCUAACAUUUUGCUGAACAACAGUGGGCAAAUCAAACUAGCAGAUUUUGGACUUGCUCGGCUCUAUAACUCUGAAGAGAGUCGUCCUUACACAAACAAAGUCAUUACCCUGUGGUAUCGACCUCCAGAACUACUUCUGGGAGAAGAGCGUUACACACCAGCCAUAGAUGUUUGGAGCUGUGGAUGUAUCCUUGGGGAACUGUUCACAAAGAAGCCUAUUUUUCAAGCCAAUCUGGAACUGGCUCAGCUAGAACUGAUCAGCCGACUCUGUGGUAGCCCUUGUCCAGCUGUGUGGCCUGAUGUUAUCAAGCUGCCCUACUUCAACACCAUGAAACCGAAGAAGCAAUAUAGAAGGCGUCUACGAGAAGAAUUCUCUUUCAUUCCUUCAGCAGCACUUGAUUUAUUAGACCACAUGCUGACACUAGAUCCUAGCAAGCGUUGCACAGCUGAACAGACCCUACAGAGUGACUUCCUUAAAGAUGUUGAGCUCAGCAAAAUGGCUCCUCCAGACCUCCCCCACUGGCAAGAUUGCCAUGAAUUAUGGAGUAAGAAACGCCGCCGUCAGCGACAAAGUGGUGUUAUGGUAGAAGAGCCACCUCCAUCCAAAGCCUCUCGAAAAGAAACUACCUCAGCAACGAGUGCUGAGCCUGUGAAGAACAGCAGCCCAGCACCACCUCAGCCUGCUCCCAGCAAGGUGGAACCUGGAGCUGGGGAUGCAAUAGGCCUCGGUGACAUCACACAACAGCUGAAUCAAAGUGAAUUGGCAGUGUUAUUGAACCUGCUGCAGAGCCAAACCGACCUGAGCGUCCCUCAAAUGGCACAGCUGCUUAACAUCCACUCCAAUCCAGAAAUGCAGCAGCAGCUGGAAGCCCUGAACCAAUCCAUCAGUGCCCUAACGGAAGCUACUUCCCAGCAGCAGGACUCAGAGCCCAUAGCUCCAGAGGAGUCUUUGAAGGAAGCACCUUCUGCCCCAGUGGCCCUGCCUUCAGCAGAACAGACAACCCCUGAAGCUUCAAGCACACCAGCUGACGUGCAGAAUAUGUUGGCAGUUCUAUUGAGUCAGCUGAUGAAAACCCAAGAGCCAGCAGGCAGCCUGGAGGAAAACAACAGUGACAAGAACAGUGGGCCACAGGGGCCCCGAAGAACUCCCACAAUGCCACAGGAGGAGGCAGCAGGUGGUAGCAACAGCAGGGAUGGCCCCCAAGGAAUUUGGUAAAGUCCGUUGGUUACCUCACCUCCAGAGCCUAGCAAAGAGGGUCUCUUUCACAGAACCUAAAGCCAGGUUCAGUGGGAGAUUUCACCUGUCCCAACACUGUGCAGGACACCAGAAGUAGAGGCCUGCAAGCCUGUUUCCUCUAUCCCUAAUGCCCAGAUGGGGCAGGUCACCAGCCUCCGGUGCCAACCUCACCUUUCUUGCCUGCAGGUGAAACCAAGACCCAGAGAUGGGAAAUCAGUUGAAUCUUGUCCUGGAAUUGCUUUGUAUUCCUGAAUUUGGAGAAUUCCUGGGAACACAGGGAAAGGAAAGUUUUCCCAUUGACUGGGGAAAGAUCUGGAUGCCUGAACCUCCCACCUUGACACCUUGAAGGUUGUUAUGUAGGUCCCCUCUCUGCAGCUUCUAAAGCCAUGGAGAAGGAGAAGGAAGGCAGAGAAAGAGGUAGACACAUGAUGUGGCAGUGCUACAGUGUCCAUCAGCGCCCAAGAAGAAAGGCCAAGGAGAAGAAACUGACCAGAGAGGAAGCCAGGAGAAGAUGCCUGCUUCUGAAACAGCAUCCCUACCCCAUCCUCUCCAGCUCCCUGUCUCACAUGUCGACAAGGCUGUGCGCCCAAGUGUGCCAGCUCUUCUGGCUGUGAUCCUGCUCUGCUGUGCAGGCAGCCAGCUCUCUGCCCCAGCACAGAGCACCUCCUGGGGUCUCUCUCACACUCCUUUGCUCGCUCAUCUCAAUGUAUCUGUGUUGCCGAUUCCUAGAAAUGAAGAAGGCUGUGGCCCUGCAGGUAGGAAGAUGGUGGGCUCUGGGGCCCAUUGGGUGCCUGGCUGCCUGGCUGCAGGAGGGAAGGAGGGAGAAGGCUGCUGGCAACUCAGCCAAGCUCAAGGUUCAGGUGACUCACAGCAAUGUGGGUGGCUCAUGAAAACAACAGAGGGGAACAGGGUCCAGGCCUGUUAGAGCUCUCUUUUGCCCCAUUUCUUCCUACUCUGAGCUCUGUGGAUGAUGGUCUCUCAUCCAGAUUAUGGAGCUGAGAGAGGCUGGGCAUUCCUGGUGAGAGGUUUCCCAGGAAGGAAAGAAUAGGAGAGGCCAGUUAUUCUUGUCCUGCUAUAUCCGUUGGCUGUACAGAGGGUACUGGGCAUCCACAUGUGUUGGGGCACCUCAGUGCUCCUGAGCACUUUCCUGAGAAGGGGCUUUCCUGGAAGACACAGCUAUUCCUCUCUGCCCUCAUUUGCCUGCCCAGAACUCUGCGUACCUAGCUGACACCAAAUUUUUAGAAAUAAGGGGGAAAAAAGCACUAUUACAAGACUAAAACCUGGUCAGUAUUCUCCUCCCUAGAAACAGAUAACUGAGACAAGAGAAGAACAGCUAGGGACUCCUAGGUUGGCUGAUCCAGGGUGUUGGCACAGGCUAUGAGGUGGGUGCAGAACUGUGGAUUUUUAAAAGUGCUGAUUCCCUCCUCCUUUACAGGCCAGGUGGGCGAUAUGCAUCUUCUCCAUUCGUUCUGAAUUUGGGAUCAUAGGAUACUGUGUUUCAGAUCACACCAGGAGAAAGAGGCCAGAAGGUGGACCGGGAGAACCAUUCAUGACUGUGACCAUAGUUCCAGGGGCAUGUGACUAGAACUGGCAAAGGGAAACAGGGAUCUGCGAUGCCAGUGUAUCCAGACAUAAUAAUAAACACCCCUACCUUUAACCUCAGAGGAUGGGCUAAGAGGAGGGGAGUUCUGUGACAGAGCCUGAGUUCUUAUUUGCCUAUUUCUGUUCCUUUCAUUGCUGGUGGCUCUGCUUUCUCACCAGGAUAAGGGAUCCUCUGCCCAGUUGCCCCUGGGAAAUCCAGAGAUGACUUUGGUUGGAGAAAGUGACAGACCAGCCACUCUUCAUGCAGGGAGAUGAAAACAGCACCACUCCCCCAGCUCUCCCUGGCAGCAUCAGAAGCUCAGGGUCUCCUGUUGGAAACCCCAAGCUAAAGCUCAGUCCUGAACUAAACCAACACAUCACCUGGCCCUGGGUAUAAAAGUGGUACUGUGAGGGGGAGCUUGGGUACACCAGGUGGGAAGUAGGCAGGUGUGGGGAGUUCAACCCCAGGAGGUAUAAGAAUCACUCUAAGAUACCACAUGCUCCUUAAUCCUCCUUUAUCUCAAAUCCCUUUCUCUGCCUACCUUUUCUUUCACCUCCCUUUAGCCAACUACGCUCCUGGCUACCUCAUCCCCUCCAGUCUGAGAGGACAUGUCUUAGGCCUCAGUUGCCCUCCUGGCUCUUGUGUGGAGAGAAAAGAGGAAAGACCUUUGAACCUGGCCUUGAGAUCCUGGAAGAGCUCCUUUGGACCUAGCCUUGGGAUCCCGGCAUCCUCUUUACAAAAUUAUUCUCUUCCCUGGGCAUCUCUAAGCCUCCAACUGGGUUGCCUGGACCUGAGCAAAUAUAGUGAGAGCACUCAGCAGAGUUAUCUCAUACUUAUUUGUGUAGUCAUUCGAAUAAUGAUCCUAGUUUCAUUGGAUGGGAAGUUCCACGAGGGCAGUGACCAUAUCUAUCUGUGUUUGCCAACGUGCUCCCAGUGCCAACAACAGUGCCUAACAUACAGCAGCUGUUUGGUAAAUAUUUGUUGAAUGAAUGAGUAAAUGACAAAGGGACAUCUCUCUGGCCUAAACUCAGCGUUUUAGCCACUCCCUCAUUCUGAGCUGACCCACCCCAAUGUGUGGACCAGGGAACAGGGUACCUGGGAGGUCAAGCUGCCUCGUUCUCCCUGGAAAGAGCUAUCAGGACAGGACCAGCCCUAGUUCCAAGACACGGGGCCUCUGCCAUGCCAGAGUCUGGCCCUGCCUGUCUGCUCUCUAGCUUCUCCAGAGAUUAAGAGAAUUCAGAGUCCCAAAUUUUUUCCCACAUGGGGGCCUGAGAUCACUCAUGUGAGCUGGAAGGGAGGGAGGGGAGUUCCAUCAGAGAAGGGUGCUCUGAAGAAAAUCUCUCUUUUCUACCUUAGCUAAGACUGCAGAGACCAUCUGUUACCACCCCUCUGUCCUCUUCCCCUGGGCCUCAGGGAAGGAGAUGGUUAAACUAAGUAGGAGGGAUAGACACUUUCCCAAAAGCAGGGCAGGCUGCUUGCUCCUUGAAAUGUCUGGGGAGCUGGGUUAUGAGCCUCAGCCAGGUAACUGGAGCGGAGGAACACAGGAUCCAGGAACAGCAAAUCCUUUGGGGCUGUACUGUCUAGACCCUGGGAAGCAGGAGGUGGACAAAAUGACCUCUAGGAGGUAUCCAGUCUCCAGCCCAGGGCUCUGUCUGACUGUUUUGCUGCCCUUGCCAUCUGACCUCAAACAAUAUUCCCAAGUCUGUGAAGAGUUAAAGUUAGGCCAGGCCUGGUAGCUCCUUGCUCUCUGUGGCCACUCCCCAUUACUAACCUUGAACAAGCACACAGACAAUUAUAGACCUCCCAGCUCAGAGCACCUCUCUGACCCAGCUCAGUGCCAAUACCCAGUCCUCACAGCAGCCUCUCACUCAGUCCCCUUAUCCUUACAGUCCCCAAAGCACCCAGGCAUCUGGGGUCAUGGAUCUGGGAGCCAUUCUGAGUAGUGUUUCUCUCUUUGACCCCACCUGUUCUCUGAGCCCCUAAUGAAGCAGGACAACUCAGGCUGCAGGCCAAGUCCUUGUGUCCCUAUCAAAGGCAACAUCUGUCCCCUCUAAGAAGAUAACCCUGGGGGAAGGGGGUGAGACAGGCACAAGGGAGAAACCCCAGUCUUGCCUGGGCCCUCACCCCGGAUUCCACUGCAGGCAUCUUUUGGGAGUGAGGGCCAAGAGAGCCGCAGAGGCCUACACUCACACAUGCCCCUGUAUGGGCCUUCCUGCCUCUCAGCCCCCACAUAUGAGAGCCCCUCCUGGGCUUACCCAACUACCUGGGCUGCUGCUGCUGCCAAGCGGCCUUCUUUUAUUCAUGCGUUGUUUUAUUGCUGGCAAAUGCUGCUGCUUGCCGCUGUUGGAGGCGUUCCUGCCAAAUCCAUCCCAACAUCUUGGCCUGGCAUCAGGGCGGCAUGCUAAUGUGGAAAUUUAAAGAGCCGCUCGGCUUUAAAUCGGAAUUUUAAAUGAGCAGCAGUGCUCCGAUGGGACCCAGGCAAAAUCGAACAGUAUCUGAUACACCCUUCCUCCUCCCACACCCACAGCAUCACCCCAAGUUCCUCCCACCUCUUCCUUUGAUUUGAACACUAGAGGAGGUAGUGGCAUGGGACACAGUAGGGGAAUAGGGAGGGAAUGGGGAGCUACCAGGGCAGAGGAAUUGGUGCAAGGUGGGUCAUCUGGACCAGUAAGGAGCUGGGACCCCCUGCUCAGGACCAAGAAAGGAUCUACUUCUUGCUGUCAUGGGCAAAUGGCCAAAUGGAGGGUGCAGAGCUGGGAGUAGUGAAACUGAGGCUUACUCCCUCACUCCCAUUUUCCAGGAAUCAAGAAGAGAAGGCCUGUUCCGCAGAGAAGAGAGAAGGUAGAAUUCCAUGAAGACACUCACACAUUUGUGCACAGUGGGAUGUGUGUACACAGCUGUGCGUGCGGGCUGGGAUGCUUGCUGAGGGGCCUGUAGCACAUGUACAUGUAACUCACACACCACCCAUGCAUGGAGAGGAAUUAUCAACACAUGGAGGGCAGUGUUUCUUUCCCUAUCCAGGCCACUAUCCUAACCCAAGAGCAAGCUGGCCUCUGCCAGUUGCUAACCUACCUAAACUGCCCCAGGUUUUUCUAUAGAUCCUAAUUCCCCAGCUCCUGGCAGCUACCUGGAGUCAGUUAUGGAGACGGAGCCCCCCAGCUCCUCUGCCAGGAUGUGGGCAGGGGCACUUGAGGUCAUCCUGUGCACCUGUCUUGGCCACAGUGUGGUGCCUUCUCUGUUGACCACCAGAUGACAGGCUCAGACAUCUCAUCUGGGAGAGGUGAAGCCUGGAAUCCCCCAGUUUGCAGCCCCCUGCCAACUACUGCUGCCCAGAAGGGUGGCACAGUGCCUGGACUUCAGGCAGGAGCUAUCAAAUCAGAACCAGAGGGACGUCUGGAGGUCACCUCAUCUAGCCCUCUGCCCACAUCCAGGCCUGUGCAUGAGGACAGGGGCAGACAGGGUCAGGGUGGUGGGCAGCAGAAGGGUGAAGCAGCCAUCUCUCUUCCUUCAGCUGCCCUUUCUCCUUUCUCACUUUUUACACAAUUUAUUUUGGGAAGCCCUCACUCUGGUCUAACCUUGCAGACAUCAUGCAUAAUGAAAGUUGGCCAGAGUCAGAAGGCCUACUACCCAGUCCUAGAGUCUCCAAAAAAUAAAACGAGAUUUUUGGCUAAUCUGUUCACCUCUCUGAGCUUCUAAUUCUUGAUCUUUAAAAUGUGAUCGAUAAUGGUGAUGAUAAUAAUAAUAAUAGCCAUCUCACAGGGAUGUUGGGGGGAUAAACACAGCUCAGGAAAGAAGUGUCCAACCCACAGCCUGGAGCAAGGCAGGUGCUGCAGGGAUAUUUCACAGCGGCCCAAAGCCCUCCAGCCGAAGUCCCCUCAUCCUGGAUAACAGGGCUCUGCUCACCUCAGCCAUUCUGGUCUGCCUUGCGCGCUAGACUGUGAACUCCUCUUGGCAGGAUCUUGUUCAUUUUUAAUCACCGCUCCUUCCCCUCCCCAGUGUCUAGCCCAUGCUCAGGCACGUAGGCUCAAUAUACAUUUAAUAAACGAGUGAGAGUACGAGUCGGACCCCCAAGUCCCCAGAGGCACAGAGCCUGACUCCCACCAGCAACCCUUCUCUGCACAACCCUUUCCCCUGGGGUCCAGGCGCCGACUGCAGCGGCGGGGAAAGAGGCGCUGCAGCUUUAAGAUUUCUCUCGGGCGUCCCCGUUGCCAAGGCGCGGUUGCCAGGGGCCUGCGCUGAGCUGCGUCCGGCCUUCGCGCGCCGGCUUCGGGUUUCCUCCUCCUCUUCCUCCGCCGCCGCCGCCGCGCCGCCCUGGGCUCGGCUACUUCGAACCGUCUGGCGGACUUGGCACUGGCCCCCGCUCCUCGGUGCCCCCGCAGUGCGUGGCAGGCUGCGGCUUCAUUAUCCUGAUUGAUUCCUCCUGCUCCCCGACACCGUGGGGGCCCAGGCCAAGGAAGGGGGGCGGAGGCGGCAUCUGCGGGCCCCUGCCCGGCCCUCGCUCCCAUCGGCUCUUCAGGCUGCCGGCCCCUUGGUGCCCUGCUGCGGCCGGCAGGGCAGGCAGGGAGGGCCACCCCCACCCUCUGCCCCCCUUGGUGGGCCGGCAGGGACCCAAGGAGCAGAGCACUGUCCGGCUAGGCGCUUCUGCCCAAGUGCCCGCUCUGGGCCACGAACGGCCGCCUUCGUUUUGCCUUCUCCAGGAGGAUAUGGAGGGGUUCGGGUUGGGAAGGAGCACGGUGGAGGACUGAGAACUUCAGGAGAACAAGCCCUCGCAAAAUGGGAAAGGUGACAUCGAGGAGCAUUGGUCACGUGGGCCAAGGCCUGGUGACAUGGAUCUUAUCAUGUGACUCCCUGGGCAGCUUAAGUACAGUUCUCAGGAGACUCAGGGACAGGGUCUUCGCAAGCCCCACAGGACACCUGGCGUGGAUGUGAACUCAAAGCAAGGCCUCUGUGAGGGAGAGGACCUGUCCCAGAAUCUGGCAGGGUGUGCCCACCCACCCCCAAACUUCAGUGCUGAGACCUUAGUAAAAAGAGCAUUUGGGA